GGUUGAUCCUGCCAGUAGUCAUACGCUUGUCUCAAAGAUUAAGCCAUGCAUGUGUAAGAAUAAAUAACUUUAUCUUGAAUCUGCGAAUGGCUCAUUAUAUCAGUUAUAGUUUACAUGAUAAUACCUUACUACUUGGAUAACCGUAGUAAUUCUAGAGCUAAUACAUGCUUAAAAACCCGACUUCUGGAAGGGUUGUAUUUAUUAGAAUAAAACCAAUUCGUUCUCGGACGAUAUUGUGGUGAGUCAUAAUAACUUAUCGGAUCGCAGUGGCUUCAUGCCGGCGAUGAAUCAUU
rnacentral:rRNA from 1 species